rnacentral:rRNA from 1 species
CUGCUCAAUGAAAAAAUUAAAUAGCUGCAGUAUUAAUAACUGUACAAAGGUAGCAUAAUAAAUAGAUUAUUAAUUGUAAUCUUGAAUGAAAGAUUUAAUGAAAUAUAAAUUUUAUUAAAAAAAAAAAUAAAAAUUAAAUUUUAAUUUAAAAUGAUUAAAUAAAUUUAUAAAACGAUAAGACCCUAUAGAAUUUUAUAUUUAUAUAAAAAAAUUUAAAUUAUAAAAUAUUUUAUUGGGGAAAUAAAAAAAUUUAAUUAACUUUUUUUAUUAAUAAUCAUUAAUUUAUGAAUUAUUUUAAAAAUAACUUAAAAUUUAAAAUUUUAUAAAAUUACCUUAGGGAUAACAGCAUAAUUUUUUUUAAAAGUUCAAAUUAAAAAAAAAGAUUAU